rnacentral:rRNA from 1 species
GACGAACGCUGGCGGCGUGCCUAAUACAUGCAGGUCGAACGAGAGCGACCGGUGCUUGCACUGGUCAAUCUAGUGGCGAACGGGUGAGUAACACGUGGGUAACCUGCCCAUCAGAGGGGGAUAACAUCCGGAAACGGAUGCUAAAACCGCAUAGGUCUUCGAACCGCAUGGUUUGAAGAGGAAAAGAGGCGCAAGCUUCUGCUGAUGGAUGGAUCCGCGGUGCAUUAGCUAGUUGGUGAGGUAACGGCUCACCAAGGCCGUGAUGCAUAGCCGACCUGAGAGGGUGAUCGGCCACAUUGGGACUGAGACACGGCCCAAACUCCUACGGGAGGCAGCAGUAGGGAAUCUUCCGCAAUGGACGCAAGUCUGACGGAGCAACGCCGCGUGAGUGAAGAAGGUUUUCGGAUCGUAAAACUCUGUUGUUAGAGAAGAACAAGUGCUAGAGUAACUGUUAGCGCCUUGACGGUAUCUAACCAGAAAGCCACGGCUAACUACGUG